GACGAACGCUGGCGGCGUGCCUAAUACAUGCAAGUCGAGCGGGGAUUAUGCUUGAUCGCUUCGGUGAGACGGCAUAUAUCCUAGCGGCGGACGGGUGAGUAACGCGUGGGUAAUCUACCUCGUAGUUCGGGAUAACAGGCCGAAAGGCUUGCUAAUACCGGAUGAGUUCAUGCUUAUGCAUAUAGGCAUGAAGAAAGGGCUAGCCCGCUAUGAGAUGAGCCCGCGUCCCAUUAGCUAGUUGGUGGGGUAAAGGCCUACCAAGGCGACGAUGGGUAGCCGGCCUGAGAGGGUGGACGGCCACACUGGGACUGAGACACGGCCCAGACUCCUACGGGGGGCAGCAGUAGGGAAUCUUCGGCAAUGGGCGGAAGCCUGACCGAGCGACGCCGCGUGAGGGACGAAGGCCUUCGGGUUGUAAACCUCUGUCAGAGGGGACGAUAAUGACGGUACCCUCAGAGGAAGCCCCGGCUAACUACGUGCCAGCAGCCGCGGUAAUGCUACGU
rnacentral:rRNA from 1 species